rnacentral:rRNA from 1 species
UACGUAGGUGGCAAGCGUUGUCCGGAUUUACUGGGUGUAAAGGGAGCGUAGGCGGACUUUUAAGUGAGAUGUGAAAUACUCGGGCUCAACUUGAGUGCUGCAUUUCAAACUGGAAGUCUAGAGUGCAGGAGAGGAGAAUGGAAUUCCUAGUGUAGCGGUGAAAUGCGUAGAGAUUAGGAAGAACACCAGUGGCGAAGGCGAUUCUCUGGACUGUGACUGACGCUGAGGCUCGAAAGCGUGGGGAGCAAACAGG